AGCAGAUAAAACACUGUGAGGGAGCGUGCAGGACUCUUCCUCCAUCGUUUCGGCUGACCUGCUUUUGAUUUGGGUGCGAGAGAAAGGUGGUACCAACGUUUUCUUCCUCAGCAAGCAUCAUUCACAUCUCGCGGCUCCCAGAGUUCCCGCAAGGAACCAGCUACUCCCCAAACGCGCCCUUGCCCCCUAGCGGCGUUCCUCCGGUAUUUUCCACUUCCUUCAUAAUGUCCUUUUUUCCUCCACCCUUCUUAACUUGCCCCUUGUCACACAGAUUCACAUUAUAGGGCACCGCUUUUUGCAUUCGUGACCUGCAAUUGAAUGCACAACCCUUUAAAGGAUGAAACCAAGUCUCCGUGUCCAUGUCGCUUUUCACUCUGGCGAGAGUGAAACAAGGAUGGGGUGAUUUUGCAUCUCAGUGAUUUACUGGUGUCCGAUGGGAGGUGGGUGUCCGUGGUGGUGAACGCCUUUGGGAAAGAGACAAAGCCUCGCCAAGUCGAGUGGGAGCCUUUGCAGAAGAAUCAUCAGCAGACAUGGACAAUUGCGAAGUAAAAACACAUCAUGGCAAUACAUACACAGGCGUAUAUAAUUAAUGACAAAAAUCACACACGUCAGGUGUGUCAGCGGUGACCGAAAUCACUUGCAGGCUAACAUGGAAAUAGUUGAAGAGCUUAGGGAGUUUUCACGCCUUCCAAGGAUCUCGAUAAACACGUACGGUGUAUCGAAAGUAGCAUACUGAUUGGAUUUUUUUAAAAAGAAAUGCAUGAGCCUUGUGUUCCGUUCCUGAAUCGAAAUGAUAUCAUUUUCACACCCUUUCCCCAGAGCCUCCCGUCUGCUCAUAUCCACAUCCACUGACAUCCCGUGAACUCCAUCCCCUCCACUUAGCACAGCUUUAGAGAUAUUCCAGCUCAUGUUCCUCUAUCAAUGUUUAUUAUUUACGGUCAGCGGCUUAGACUUUUCUCCACUUCCAGUGGUUGGACUUAGGCAGAGCAUGAAAAAAAGAGGAGGCAAGAGAGUCAAUGUGGAGAUUGAUGAGGGCGGGUUUACCGUUGGGUCUAGACAGGGAAGCACGUUUGGUCUUGGGCAAGGGCUUCUUCCAUCAUUAGGAAGUUGGAAGGAGUCACCAGAGAUGACUCUGACCUUCCUUAGACCGGGAACAAGCUCAUUUGUUUCAGAACCAGGAGUGGAAGACAAUAUGCUGGAUUCAGAGACAGUGACACACACACAUCCCCAUGCUGUUGUUCAGAAGAGCAUGGUAUAUCCUGAGCCCAGAGCUGAACUGCUGGGGUAAAUGUCUAAUGCAGGAAAAUUUCACCAAUUUCCAAUGUGGCUUAGCGAGGUAAGAACCCAACUAUUAUUCAUGAGGAUGUGGGUUCGAUCCCUGGCCUUGCUCCGUGGAUUAAGGAGCUGGCAUUGCCAUGAGCUGUGAUGUAGGUCACAGAUGGGGCUCGGAUCUGGUGUUGCUGUGGCUGUGGUGUAGACUGGAAGCUGUAGCUCCUCUUGGACCUAUAGCCUGGGAAUGUCCAUGUCAAGUGCUGCAGGUGUGGCCCUAAAAAAAGAAAAAAAAUACACCACCACCAACAAAAAAAGUAUAGUUGAUUUACAAUGUGCAAAUUUCUGCCGUACAAGAAAGUGAGCCAGUUUUUUAUUUACAUGUGUGUGUAUAUGUGUGUAUAAACAUAUAUACACGUAUAUAUACACACACACACACACACAUAUAUAUAUAUAUAUAAACUUAGAUUACCAAUGAGUUCUUUAUAGGAGUGCAGAUAUUGUUGUUUUUGCAAAACAAUGUUAUAAUUUUUCUAUCCACCUGACUCUAGUGAAUUAUGAACACCCACCAUAGACCAUGGGCUCCAACCUGCGCAAGAGUCGUCAUUGGCUGAUGAGUGGAUUGUGGAUCUAAGAAGUUAGGGAUUUUGCCCAGUGAUAAGGCCCCCAGGAAAGCGUGUGUAUGCCAUGGACCUGCCUUUAGACAGCCUCAGAGUUGAAUUUCCACACUAGCUUUCAAUGAUUCACAGUGUGGCUCUGGAUGAAUCACAAGACACAAUCACUGAAUGUCUCUGAACCUGAGUUUCUGCCCUGGCAAGGGGUGACCGUGACAUAGCAUCGCAUGACACAACAAGAAUACAUCGCAACCUCCCGGCGUUAGUCUGCGAGGGCUGCUCUAACAAAAUGCCACAGAAUGGAUGGCUUCAAUAACAAAUGUAUUCAUCCCCUCACAGUGGCAGAGACGAGAACGCCCAGAUCACGGUGAAGACAGGGUUGGUUUCUGGUGAGGCCGCUCACGUGGGCUUGCACAGGGACAUUUUCUUGCUAUGUCCUCAUGUGGCCUUUCUGCAUCUUAUAGCCUCAUGUUCUUCCCUUCCUUACCUCCUCAGAGACCCCUUGUCCCAGGAGUCACCCUGGGCGUCAGGGCUUCAGCAUGUGGAUUUGGGCGGGACACAAUUCAGUGUGUGACAACCCACUGAAGAUUCCAAGAAAACAUAACGCAACAGUGUAGCAUAACAGAAACAUGAGGUAGCAAAGCAUAACACAGCGUGGUUAUAACAACAC
ensembl:lncRNA